rnacentral:rRNA from 1 species
GUGCCAGCAGCCGCGGUAAUACGAAGGGGGCUAGCGUUGCUCGGAAUCACUGGGCGUAAAGGGUGCGUAGGCGGGUUUUUAAGUCAGGGGUGAAAUCCUGGAGCUCAACUCCAGAACUGCCCUUGAUACUGAAGAUCUUGAGUCCGGGAGAGGUGAGUGGAACUGCGAGUGUAGAGGUGAAAUUCGUAGAUAUUCGCAAGAACACCAGUGGCGAAGGCGGCUCACUGGCCCGGUACUGACGCUGAGGCACGAAAGCGUGGGGAGCAAACAGGAUUAGAUACCCUGGUAGUCC